UUACGGCCAUAUCACGUUGAAACACCGGUUUCCGUACGAUCACUGAAGUUAAGGAACAACGAGCUUGGUUAGAACCUAGGUGGGUUACCGCUUGGAAAUACCAGGUGCUGUAA